CGCGAGAGCAAGCGGACCUCAUAAAGUAUGUCGUAGUCCGGAUUGGAGUCUGCAACUCGACUCCAUGAAGUCGGAAUCGCUAGUAAUCGUAGAUCAGAAUGCUACGGUGAAUACGUUCCCGGGCCUUGUACACACCGCCCGUCACACCAUGGGAGUGGGUUGCAAAAGAAGUAGGUAGCUUAACCUUCGGGAGGGCGCUUACCACUUUGUGAUUCAUGACUGGGGUGAAGUCGUAACAAGGUAACCGUAGGGGAACCUGCGGUUGGAUCACCUCCUU
rnacentral:rRNA from 1 species